UACGUAGGGCGCAAGCGUUGUCCGGAAUUAUUGGGCGUAAAGAGCUCGUAGGCGGUUUGUCGCGUCUGCUGUGAAAACCUAAGGCUCAACCUUGGGCUUGCAGUGGGUACGGGCAGACUAGAGUGCGGUAGGGGUGACUGGAAUUCUCGGUGUAGCGGUGAAAUGCGUAGAUAUCGAGAGGAACACCUGCGGCGAAGGCGGGUAGCUGGGCCGACACUGACGCUGAGGCGCGAAAGCCAGGGGAGCGAACGGG
rnacentral:rRNA from 1 species